rnacentral:rRNA from 1 species
GGACUACUGGGGUAUCUAAUCCUGUUUGCUCCCCUAGCCUUCGCGCCUCAGCGUCUGUUACAGCCCAGCCAGUCGCCUUCGCCACUGGUAUUCCUCCCGAUAUCUACGCAUUUCACCACUACACCGGGAAUUCUACUGGCCUCUGCUGCACUCUAGCUCUUCAGUUUAGAUUGACCCUCCCCAGUUAAGCCGGGGGCUUUCACAACCUACUUGAAGUGCCGCCUACUCGCCCUUUACGCCCAGUAAUUCCGGACAACGCUCGCUCCCUACGUAUUACCGCGGCUGCUGGCAC